AUGCCUGCACACAGAAGAAAGACCACGUGAGGAUACAGUAGGAAGGCAGUCAGUCAUCUGCAAGCCAAGGAGAGAGGCCUCAGGGGAAACCAAACCUACCAACACCUUGAUCUUAGACUUCUAGCCUCCAAAGCUUGUUGGGAUAUACAAUCUCCAAAAUCCUGCCUGCUCUGACAUACACACCGUGGAAGCUGUAGCAUCACUUUGCUUCAUGAAUCCUCUGGGAUUGGAAAUUCUUUAUAAGACUGUAUUAAACAAACACAACUCUUUCUGAAUCCUGCAAAACGAAACUGGACCUGGGACAAGUAUUUUAACACAAAGUUCUAUUUGUCCUCAAUCUUGUUUGGCCCUGACCAAAUGUAGGGUGUGAUUUUUUUCUUCUCCACUCCUUCUUACACAAGGCAAGACCUACUCAAACUCCAGGUUUUCAACAGGUGGGUGAGCUGAACAGAUUAAGUACCCACUAAGAUCAAGUUUCUUCCUUUCAACUUAAACUUCAGGACUGAACUCUAACUGAACUGCAGACGAGCAAGCAUAGGAAUGUGUAUGGAAUAUGAGCCACUUUGAUAUUGAAGUUGGCAUGCAGCAAAAGCUGACUAAAUACAUCUCCCUGAAGCAGAGGUCCACACAAAACAAUUUGGGAAAAUGAGCUCUAAAAGCCUUCAAAAGACCUCUUUCUACCUACCAUAAUUAACCAGUGUUUAAGAAAACAUGGCAGCCUUUUAGAUGUAAUAUAAUUUUACAGUUUUCAUUGUGAUUCCCAUAUUUAUAUUCCACAUAAUAGAGUGAGUUAGGAUGGACGGCCCCAUUACCCAACCAAAGGGGGACUUGGAGAGCCAAUAAUUGGCAGAGAUGUCAGUGGGACCCAGGUCUCCCAAAUCCUAGCCUGGGUGUUUUUCCACUAAACUUGGUCUUCCUCUUAGUUUUUAUAAGAAGCCCUUCAAGCUCUUGCACAUAUUUAGGUCAAAAUUACUACUUUCAGACCUAUUGUCUGAUUUGGAAGGAAAUCUUGUAAUUACAGGAUGACUUCAAAACAAUAUUCAAUUGCAUAAUAGGAGUGUGGGUUGCAUGUUUUGAGCAUUAAUAAUACUAAGAAGCCUUCCAUUUAUUUGGUUGAACAAAAAUAGUAAUCCAAUGUCCACUACCCAAAAUGGCCCAAGUAACUAUAAAAGCUACUCUAAAGGGAUGAAGAGCUGUGGGAAAUGACUAAAUAGCACUGAAAGCAGUACUCUGCUCUUUAAAAGUUCAAAAAUUAGGCAAUCUGGGUGAGAGAAAGAUGUGAUCUAAAGGAAACAGGACACAGCCCUGAACAAAUUCCAGAACUCAUAAUGUGGUCAGGUUAUACAAUCAAGUGCUAAAACCAAUUUUGGGGCAUUGCUUUAAAAAGCAUUCCUGUUGAACCCAUUUGAGGGCAGGUGGCCUCUUCAGUAUGGCCUUGCACUUGUGUAUGGCACCUGCCCUUGGCCCCAGGCACAGUGUACACUCCUUUGGUGUUGCAAGUGCCUGCCACAGAGAUCCCAGGUGGCAUUCAAGGGAUGACUCAAGGUCCCACCCAUUAAAAAUAUACCUUCCACAUGGCACUGCCUUACCCUUCGUGUAGAAGUGGAAAUAGUACAGCAUUUCUGAAGGGCACUUUGACAGUUGUAUUCAUUCAGGUAUCCAUCAUUGGACAAAGAGAUACUAAGCUACCUCUCCAUGCCAGGCACUCUGUUAACGACUGUAGAUACUGAAGUGAGCAAAGUAGACAAAAAUCUCUGCCCUUAUGGAGCUGACAUUCUAGUAUGUAUGUGGAAGUGGGGCCACGGGGAGGUGGGGAGAUAAGUUACUCUGAGGAAGCAAAGUAAAUUAAAAAGUAAUUAAUAAAUAGAAGGUAAGAAAUUCUUUGGAGAAAACUUAAGCAGUAAUGAGGACAGGGAAUGGAGGUGGGUAAGGAAAGAUCUCACUGAUAAGGUGAUACCUAUCCUAAAAUUAUGUCUAAAAGAUUAUAGCUACAAAAAAAGAAGAAAAACUGAAUGGAAACACAUAAAGUGCAAUUUGUGGUUAUCUUUAGAAGAUAUUUGCGGCAAUUUUCUGUACUGUGUUCUGCAUAUGUGUGCUUGUGUGUUUUUAAUUAGUUGGAAAUUUUGACAAUGUACUCUGGCAUCUUUAUUUCUUAAAAGACCCCACCAAGCAAUUCUGAGGCACAGUAAAAUAUAAAAUUGUUUUCUUCGCACCUUACAUUUUAAGUUCUAUGCUCAAAAAGAUUCUAGUAGUUCUGGGCAUGCUGAGUUCAACAUUUUAAGUUAUACGUAUUUUUUAAUUGCCCUGCAAUUCCCCUCAAUUGGGUUACUGAAGAAUUAUAUGUAAAUAUCUCAUAGUGCAUUGUGAGAAAUGAGUUAUGUAAUCCAUGUAAAGAGGUUAGCAUCAGGCUCAAUAAAUGUUUAGCUGCCAUCAGUGUUAUUAUUGUUAGAGGCUUAGUGGAGAACUUGCUGUUUGAUCUGGACCUUGAAAAAGAAAUGGGUAAAGGAUGUGGAUAAAGGUCAGAGGGUGGAUUAUCCAGGCAGGAAAAAUACAUUGGCAAAAACAUGAGGAAUGACCUCAUUGUGAGCAAAGGGAAGUCUCCCUUUCAUUCAGUAGACCUUUACUGAGCUAUUGGACCACAAGCUCCGGGAGUUCUGAGGCUAUGUCCACCCCGUUCACUGCUUUAUCCCAGCACUUAGUACAGCACGUUACACAAAAAGAGCUGUAAAUAUUUGUUGACUGUUCAAAGUAUUUUAACCACCACUAAAAGCAUGUUCAUUUUAGAUGUGUCCUCAGGCAGCUUCUGUGACAUCAGUUGUCAUUUUAAUAAAGAGCUAACCAGAGCCACUCUAAGAAAAUGAGUUCACCAAGAUAUAUUCAAGCUACAAUAAAAUGUAAUAAUUUUUGGAUUUGUAUGCAAUAACAACUCAUUCAUCUAGUAUGGUUAGGAAAUUAGUAACUUAUUUAUAAUGGAAACAUCCCUUUAAUGCUAAAGGUUUUCAAUUCUAUUUUAACCAAGUUGGAUGGAAAUAUUUUUAAUUUGGGGGGUUUUUUGUUUUGUUUGUUUUAACACAGGGUCUCGUUCUGUCACCCAGGCUGGAGUGCAGUGGCGUGAUCAUGGCUCACUGCAGACUCAACCUCCUGGGCUCAGGCAAUCCUCCCACCUCAAGCCUCCCGAGCAGCAGGGAUUACAGGCACACACCACCAUGCCCAGCUAAAUGUUUGUAUUUUUGUACAGAUGGGGUUUCACUAUGUUGUCUAAGCUGGUUUCGUAAUGGUGGGCUCAAGUGAUCCUCCUGCCUCUGCCUCCCAAAGUGCUGGGAUUACAGGUGUUAGCCACCAUGCCUGGCCUAUUUUUAAUUUUUAUUACAAAUAUCUGUGGCUUUUUGAACACUGCAUAUAGAACAAAAUUGAUCCCUUUAAUGAAUCUGUGUCAGUUAUGAAACACAAGCUGUGAGCAGCCAAAGACCACCUUUGACUAACAUAUUUUAUUAGAAUGUUUUAAAGUAGUCUUCCAAAUUAAAAGAAAAUUGGACAACCAGUCUUGAAAAGGUCAGGGACCAUGCAGCUCCAGGGUUCUACGUGGAAGGGAAGAAUUCAGGAUACCACCAUAAGGAUGAGCCAGCCCAGUAGCUUUGUGUUGGCUCUGCUCAACAUCCAAAUUCCUGCAAAAAGGUGACUGACUUGUCUUGGACCAUAAGCUCAGCCUUGUUCAGGAGAUGGGAAAGCUCCUUACAUGAUGGUUCCUUUGGAACAGAAUACAAAUUGGGAAGGGUAAUUUUCUGAAGAAAAAUCAUAGUGCUGCCUCCAGAGGAGAGCAGAAUGAAUGCUGAGCAUGUGAAAACACGGAAGUCCAACACAAUAAUGAAUAAUCAUUUUGAACAUCAAUUAUAGUAUUAACUUGUAAUUCAGUAAUGUUCUUGAAAACUGAUGUUUAAGGCUAUCUUUCCCCUUUAAUUAGUGGUCUCAGGCUUCUUUACUUUUUGAGUUUCUAAUUUUUAUAAUUCUCUUGUCUUUUUUUUUUUCACCUUUCAAAAUGAUUAUUUUCUUGCUACUUUUUUUUUUUUUUUUUUUUUUUGAGAUGGAGUCUCGCACUGUCGCCCAGACUGGAGUACAAUGGUGCGAUCUCGGCUCAGUUCAACCUCCACCUCCCAGGUUCAAGCAAUUCUCCUGCCUCAGCCUCCCAAGUAGCUGGGAUUACAGGUGCACGCCACUACGCCUGUCUAAUUUUUUGUAUUUUUAAUAGAGACAGGGUUUCACUAUGUUGGUCAGGCUGGUCUCAAACUCCUGACCUCGUGAUCUGCCCGCCUCGGCCUCCCAAAGUGCUGGGAUUACAGGCAUGAGCCACCGCACCUGGCCUUUUCUUGCUACUUUCAAUUUACCCACUUUGGGCAGUCUCCAUCCACUUUCUUCCUCUAUUUGGCUGUGGACUGGGAAAUGAAAUAAACAAGCUUGUUAGAUGUGUGUAUGUAAUGGGACUGUGAAUAAGUAUGAGUCUAUGAGUAAAGCACAUGAUAAAUGCAUAGACUUGGUGUCAUUUACAUUGACUGCUCAAAGACUUCUCUUGCUAAUGUUUAGUUGUUUAGCUACUUAGAUAGUGACCAGAUGAGGAAUUUCUCUGUAAAUGAUAUGCUACCAAUUAUAAGAACACAUGUCCUUUUUAUAAUUGCUUUAAAUUCAUUUUCACCAUAUCAUUGAAAGGAAGGAGAGGGCAAAUAUUUGCUCAGUUUUAAAAGUAUGAAAAAUGGAGCCACAGAGGGCUUAAGUACACUGGGGAAAGGCUAGUGCUGAGCCCCAGGUGUCCUGGUUUCCAUUUUAGAAGUUAGUUAAUAGAUUCAGCUAUGUCAAUAUCAGGAGAUGUACAGAAUCAUAGGUCAAAGACAGCUUAAAACUUCAGAGAUCACUAGGGGAUACAACAAGUGUAUGAUAUAGACAGAAAAGCACAGGGAAAAUUACAUAUGUGACUGUAAAACACACAUACGAAGCUGUUAACAGCACCCACAGAUGGGAACAAACAUUGAUUUCCCUGUUCAAUCACUUUUAGCAACAACUUGGAUAAAGAUACUGAAAAUAUGUUUAACAAUUGCAGGUGACACAAAAUUGAAAAAGAUUACCAGUAUAUUUAAUGAGAGAACCAAGAUCCUGGCUGAAACUACUGGCUAAAAUGUAAUAUUGAUUAGACAACAUGAAUUUUUCAAUUUCUUAUAAUUAUAGCUAACAUUCUAAUUUACAAACAUGAUGUAGGGGAAGUCUUACUUGACAACAAUCAUACGGGUUUUGGUUUGCUGCAAAUAAAGAAAUAAUAAUACCAUUUAUUGAAGAUAGUGCCAGCAUCAUACUAAGUGCUUUAUAUGUACUAUGUCAAGUCUCACAAUUCUAAAACAUAGGCAUCAUCAUCAUCCCCACAUUGUAAGUGAGAAACUGAUAAUUUGAGAAGUUAGAUAAAAUGCCCCGAAUCUGACAGCUAAUGAAUGUUGAAACCAGGUGUCAAAUCUACCUAAAUCCAUGUCUUAACCAAUAUGCUGCUGUUAUUAUGUAAAAAUAAAUGCCAUUAUUAAAAGAUUCAAGGAAGUCUCUUUGUACUACUCAUUUUAAUUGAAGUAUGUGAUUGUCA
rnacentral:lncRNA from 1 species